UACGUAGGGAGCAAGCGUUGUCCGGAAUCAUUGGGCGUAAAGCGCGCGUAGGUGGCCUCAUAAGUCCGCUGUGAAAGUCCAAGGCUCAACCUUGGAAAGCCGGUGGAUACUGUGAGGCUAGAGUACGGAAGAGGCGAGUGGAAUUCCUGGUGUAGCGGUGAAAUGCGCAGAUAUCAGGAGGAACACCGGUGGCGAAGGCGGGUCUCUGGACAUUUCCUGACGCUGAGGCACGAAAGCCAGGGGAGCAAACGGG
rnacentral:rRNA from 1 species